CCCGCCUGCCCUGUGACCAAAAGUUUAACGGCCGCGGUAUUUUAACCGUGCAAAGGUAGCGCAAUCAAUUGUCUUUUAAAUGAAGACCUGUAUGAAUGGCAUAACGAGGGUUUAACUGUCUCUUUUUUCAGGUCAAUGAAACUGAUCUGUCCGUGCAGAAGCGGACAUAUUAACACAAGACGAGAAGACCCUAUGGAGCUUUAGACGCCCACCAACCACGAAAAGCAGCCUACCUAAACAGAUGCUCUAAACAACGCGGUCCUGGUACAAACGUCUUCGGUUGGGGCGACCGCGGAGGAGAACAAAGCCUCCGAGAGGAAUGGGAACAAACCCUAAAACCAAGAGCCACAGCUCUAAGUCACAAAAAAUUUGACCGACAAUGAUCCGGCUUACUGCCGAUCAACGGACCAAGUUACCCUAGGGAUAACAGCGCAAUCCCCUCCCAGAGUCCAUAUCGACGAGGGGGUUUACGACCUCGAUGUUGGAUCAGGACAUCCUAAUGGUGCAGCCGCU
rnacentral:rRNA from 1 species